rnacentral:rRNA from 1 species
UACGUAGGGUGCGAGCGUUUAAUCGGAAUUACUGGGCGUAAAGCGUGCGCAGGCGGCGCGUUAAGACAGGUGUGAAAGCCCCGAGCUUAACUUGGGAAUUGCGCUUGUGACUGGCGUGCUGGAGUGUGGCAGAGGGAGGUGGAAUUCCACGUGUGCAGUGAAAUGCGUAGAGAUGUGGAGGAACACCGAUGGCGAAGGCAGCCUCCUGGGCCAGCACUGACGCUCAUGCACGAAAGCGUGGGGAGCAAACAGG